rnacentral:rRNA from 1 species
GAGUUUGAUCCUGGCUCAGAUUGAACGCUGGCGGCAUGCCUAACACAUGCAAGUCGAACGGUAGCAGGCCUUCGGGUGCUGACGAGUGGCGGACGGGUGAGUAAUGCGUAGGAAUCUGUCUUUUAGUGGGGGACAACCCAGGGAAACUUGGGCUAAUACCGCAUGAGCCCUGAGGGGGAAAGCGGGGGAUCUUCGGACCUCGCGCUAAGGGGGGAGCCUACGUCUGAUUAGCUAGUUGGUAGGGUAAAGGCCUACCAAGGCGACGAUCAGUAGCUGGUCUGAGAGGACGACCAGCCACACUGGGACUGAGACACGGCCCAGACUCCUACGGGAGGCAGCAGUGGGGAAUUUUUCGCAAUGGGGGCAACCCUGACGAAGCAAUGCCGCGUGGAUGAAGAAGGCCUUCGGGUUGUAAAGUCCUUUCGUGGGGGACGAAAAGGUGGUUCCUAAUACGAGCUGCUGUUGACGUGAACCCAAGAAGAAGCACCGGCUAACUCCGUGCCAGCAGCCGCGGUAAUACGGGGGGUGCAAGCGUUAAUCGGAACCACUGGGCGUAAAGGGUGCGUAGGCGGUACGUUAGGUCUGUCGUGAAAUCCCCGGGCUCAACCUGGGAAUGGCGGUAGAAACCGGCGCACUAGAGUAUGGGAGAGGGUGGUGGAAUUCCAGGUGUAGCGGUGAAAUGCGUAGAGAUCUGGAGGAACAUCAGUGGCGAAGGCGGCCACCUGGCCCAAUACUGACG